GUGUGCACGAGUAAAUACGGGCGGUGUCCUUACAACAGCAAUGCACUGUGUAUGACUGCAGUACUUGUACUUAUUUACACUUGCAUAUUUAGUAGAUGAACGCUCUCUCAAAUCAGUGAAAACUGAAAACCUGACCGAACUUUUUGCUGACGGAAUUUUUGAGUAUGGAAACUUAACUUUUUCAUAUAAUAUCAUGAAUGUUUUCAUUCUCCCCAUCAGGGCAGCCCAUGUUGGUACGGGCGUUAACAUGACAUUCCUAGCUAAGAACCAUCUGGCAUCAACUCAUCAACUAGUUUGCGAUGAUUGCCUUAUAUGCGCGUUCAUGGUACCGAAAUUUUCUAAGUCGGUCAGUCUCGCGUGGGCCGCAGACACCCCGAGUUCAUACACUGUACCUUUGCAGGGGUCGCUGUUGUGUGGAACGUAUGGAUACUGCUCCUUCACUGGUGUACUGCCUGUUCCGUGGGUCGCGGUUCACCGCCGGCUUUAACGGCCAAUAUCACCUUCCAAAGCAACGUGCCUGUAGCGGUACAGCACGGCACAGUAAAUAUCGGAGGAGUACAGUUUAACAUUGCUCUGGUGUCACCGCAGACGCUCGCUGCGCGACCGCGAACCCAACUGGAUGACGUUGUCGACUGGGCGCUUCGCUAUCCGGAAAACGACAAAAUAACGCUGAAAUUUCCUGUCGAGAACGAUGUGACACGGUAUUCGGCUGAAGACGGUGAGAUCUUUGCCCGACCGCGUCUGGGCGAACCCGCCACGUUCACCUGUGUGGCGUCUGCGGAAGGAAGCGCUAUUUACGCUAAUACCAUAUCUUGGUUGCAUCAGGGCCAUGUGGUGUUCGACAAAGGUCAACCGGUUAAAGCCAACGGCGUACCACUUCAAAGUCGUUUUGCAAAUUUAAAGCAAGUAACAUUUCGUGAGACAUGCAACAUUUAGAUGAACUAAAUUGUACGAGGACGAGCUUAGUACAUGUGAUAGACAAAAAAACUAGCGAGAGAAUCUGAUAACCAUUUGCGUGCUGUGCAACACUGUCAGCCACCUUAGGCUGGCGGUAGCCGCGCGCCGUCACGCAGCCGUCAGCUGAACACGGCCUGCUGUUUUCUGUAACGCACACUCGUAUUAAAAUUUAAAUGCGAGUUUUGUUUUGGUUUUGUAACAUUGUUUAUAAUUGGUUCUCCGCAAAAUUUCCAGUAACCAGUGACUGACAUUAAUUAACCAAGCUCUUGAUAAUAAUGUUAUAAAAUUGCCAUCUAAAUAUAAAGAUUCAUCUGGCGAGAUGUACUACGAUGAGAAUAUCACCGACGUACGGCUACCUGCCAGUUUGUUUUCUGCACCUGCGAUGGAGAUUUCUUGGGCGAGUAUCAGCGUUGUUUCGGGCCUACCGUUGAGUGAGAAUUGUGUGGAGGAACCCGCCAGCGACGUGCCUUUACCAGCAGCGUACGAUGAUUUUAUGGCCUUGGCGCUGAAGGCUUGUAGAACGGGGAACCUGACAGAUAGAAGAGAUUGUGGCGUUCACAAUCUCUAAAGCAGAAGGUUUUCUUCCAUCGGUUGCAGCUGACAAAGUGGCUGCAGAUUGGCACCAUAAUUUCAUGAGCGCUCAUCCUCAGAGAAAGAGAAAACUUCAAGAUUCUCGUCUGCGCGCCGAAGCAGGGCUUAUUGCGACGCACAUUAAAGCGCAAGUUACAACUUCAGUGAUUCCGGCAUCGCGAAGAUCUUCGACAUCCGCAAUGUUUCCACACAGACCAGCGGUGAUGUGGUCUGCCAUGAGGAAUCUCCCGGUCGUCCGCACAAGCACCGGACCUUGCGACGCUACCGCCUUUUGCCGUACGUUACUCGCGUGAGCGAAGUCUUCAGCGAGGUGAUGCAGCCGCAGUGGGUAUGGGAAGGGGACUUCGCUUAUUUCAACUGCAAAGUUCGUCUGCCGCUGCCAGCGCACGUAUUGGCCACACUGGGCACGCGGAUUAUUAUGUGGCGCCUGAAGGGCAGAAUGUUCCGCCUUACUCGUCCCUAGUCAGCAGUGACCAGUUGACGAAAGCGGAGGCGUUCGUCCGGCCGGUGAAAAAUGUCCCCGGUGCAAGUGUAGAGUUUGUGUUGUGUGGAACGUAUGGAUACUGCUCCUUCACUGGUGUACUGCCUGUUGACGCCGCUGGCCGAUGACGGCCGGGUUGAGUGCUUGUAUCGGCCAUACGAAGAGACGCACGGGUGGAUCGUUCAUUCGGCCGAAUUAAUGGUCAAUCGGCGGAAACAUUGACCCGGCUGCUUGAUUUUGCGAUAUAAUAUUCAGUUUUUAACGGUAGCUGGCUUUUUUGUGAAGCAUUGUUGUUUGACCGCAUUUUGUGCGAAGUCUAAGGUCACGUUUUCAAAACAAUUGUGCCGUUAAUGCUUGCAGACAAUGUGAGGUGGAUGCAUGCAAGUCAAAUUCGUCUUUAAUAAAUAUUCACCAGCGCCUGUCAUUAUGUGCCGGCAUGCUUAGGUUUGUAGGUUACUGAGCCCGGCGCCGCCGGUUGGGGUUCCGACGGGCGGAGGAGGAAGUACGCAACUAGUGCAAUAAUGGCCAGGACGAUAAAAACGACAAGAGCAAU